UGGGAGGGCAAGUCUGGUGCCAGCAGCCGCGGUAAUUCCAGCUCCAAUAGCGUAUAUUAAAGUUGUUGCAGUUAAAAAGCUCGUAGUUGAAUUUCGGGAUCAAUGGGUUGGUCAUGCCCUCGGUAUGUACUGAUUUCAUUGGUUCUCACCUUCUAAGGAACCAUGAUGUCAUUCGUUUGAUGUUGUGGGGAAUUAGGACUGUUACCUUGAAAAAAUUAGAGUGUUUAAAGCAGGCUAACGCUUGAAUACAUUAGCAUGGAAUAAUGAAAUAGGACAUCCGAUUCUAUUUUGUUGGUUUCUAGGAUCGAUGUAAUGAUUAAUAGGGAUAGUUGGGGGCAUUAGUAUUCAAUUGUCAGAGGUGAAAUUCUUGGAUUUAUUGAAGACUAACUACUGCGAAAGCAUUUGCCAAGGAUGUUUUCAUUAAUCAAGAACGAAAGUUAGGGGAUCGAAGACGAUCAGAUACCGUCGUAGUCUUAACCAUAAACUAUGCCGACUAGGGAUCGGAUGAUGCUUAUUUUUUAAUGACUCAUUCGGCGCCUUACGGGAAAC
rnacentral:rRNA from 1 species